rnacentral:rRNA from 1 species
CCUACGGGUGGCAGCAGUGGGGAAUAUUGCACAAUGGGGGAAACCCUGAUGCAGCGACGCCGCGUGGGCGAAGAAGUAUUUCGGUAUGUAAAGCCCUAUCAGCAGGGAAGAAGAAAUGACGGUACCUGAGUAAGAAGCACCGGCUAAAUACGUGCCAGCAGCCGCGGUAGACGUAUGGUGCAAGCGUUAACCGGAUUUACGGGGUGGAAAGGGAGCGCAGGCGGGAAGGCAAGCCUGAUGUGAAAGCCCGCGGCCCAACCGCGGGACUGCAUUGGGAACUACCGGGCUGGAGUGCCGGAGAGGUAGGCGGAAUUCCUAGUGUAGCGGUGAAAUGCGUAGAUAUUAGGAGGAACACCAGUGGCGAAGGCGGCCUACUGGACGGUGACUGACGCUGAGGCUCGAAAGCGUGGGGAGCAAACAGGAUUAGAUACCCGGGUAGUC